CUUCAGCCUUUUACGUCGGGAGGCGUUCGGCUUUGGAUCCUGUUUGUGUAUCUUGUAUGGUGAAAUGAUAAUUGGAACAGAAUUUACUGGUUUAACUAAAAUGCAGAGUAUUCAAAGAUCUUGUUGUGUUGGUAGAUGAAAGUAAGCUUUGAAAACCUGCAGGUUUGCAAGCUUGACCACUUAGGUUUUCCUUACGUCACGGGACACCACGUGCAGCCCUGGGCCCUAAGUCCCAGCACGCCAUGGCCCCCAGCGGGGAAAGGCCCUGUGCAUCUGGUGACUACGGUUAAGAAAGUCGUUAGUUCCAUCGUCGAGGUCAUGUGGUCGUCUUGACUCUACGGUUUGUGAAAACCGCCAGUUCCGUCCGGAUGGAAGCUGAGUUCGUUCCGAUUGAUGGUGGAAAGAUAAAGGUAUCAAGUCCGAAAUGAUUGUGGAUGAAGUCUUACGCAGUGUCCUGCAGAGGAUUCCUAUAUUUUCCAAUCGUAUUUGGUGGAAUGGGUGUUUCCAAUAAUCUGGAAACUAGCAGGGCACCAAUUUUAAAUAUAGGCCAGAGUUUUUAGAGGGGAUCCCUUGAUAAUAAAAUGCUUAACUCAUGCGGAAA